rnacentral:rRNA from 1 species
UACGGGGGGGGCAAGCGUUGUUCGGAAUUACUGGGCGUAAAGGGCUCGUAGGCGGCCAACUAAGUCCGACGUGAAAUCCCCAGGCUUAACCUGGGAACUGCGUCGGAUACUGGAUGGCUUGAAUCCGGGAGAGGGAUGCGGAAUUCCAGGUGUAGCGGUGAAAUGCGUAGAUAUCUGGAGGAACACCGGUGGCGAAGGCGUCAUCCUGGACCGGCAUUGACGCUGAGGAGCGAAAGCCAGGGGAGCAAACGGG